GGGGAGGAAGGGCUUCUGCCACUCUCAAGAUGGCGUCGCCCACACGCUAUACCACACUCAAGAUGGCCGCUUCAAUGCCUGUUGUGCCACUCUCAAGAUGGUGGCUCCCACCGUGCCAAGUGUGCAAUCAAGGUGGUGCUUUCCCUUCGCUUUCCGGUUCUGCCACGCUCAAGAUGGCGCCUCCCUUCCUCCUCCCGCAUUUGCCGCGCCCAAAAUGGCGGCUGGAGAGGGGCGGGGCGUGUAGGCAUGAAGGCAGCGGCUGGGAGGGGAGUUGUGGCUUAUAGGAGAUUGUAACGGCAAGAGUGGCUUUGGGGUUACAAGCUGAGAUACUUUUACUUCCAUCAGACAGAUAAUGUGGUUUGGGUGACGUGGUGAUGUGCACAUUGCUGGCUCCCAGAUCCUGUAGGCCCGACCUGCUGUUGGCCUCCAGGCAGAGCUGAGCCCUCACGACCACCCCUUGGCCACAUCUGUGCUGUUACAACGUCACUGCUCCGGUUGAGGCUUCAUUGGCCAUCACAGUUUUUACAUGGGGUCUAUAUUUUCUAAGGCACACCUGGUUGUGCACGUCAGCCUUCCUAUCCAACAGCUCAGCCCAUUUCUGGGCACUGCUGGGUCUACAAAUCUGCUGGGAUUUACAAAUCUCUCUUCCUGCAGGCUGGGCUCCGUGUUGGUUUCCACACAUUUGGUGUUGGUUUGUCCAGUUGCUGUCCUUUGCAGGGCAGGAGGUGACUCACUUCAGUGACCUGUGCAGGUCGGUGCCCCCCAGCCCAGGAGGGGGGAUGCAGGAGAAUGGGGUUGAGGUGAACUUGGUUUUAUUUCUGGGAAUCGGCCUUUUUUUUUGUCUGCGUGGCUUUUGGGGGGCAGCCCCUCUGUGACACAUUCCUGUUCUGCAAAGAGUGAUAAUUGCCCUUCCUUUGGUGAGGUGCUCAGGGUGCAAUAAGCAGCGUGGUGGGGAUGGGUUGAUGGUUGGACUCGAUGUCCUUAGAGGUCUUUUCCAGCAUUAAUGACUCUGUGACAAAUAGAAAGUGCUGCUAUAGCAUCAGUGUGCCCUCCUGCACCAUGAAAACACCCCCUGGAAACCUGAGCUGGACAUUUUCUGACCAGAGAACUGAAAGGUGAGUGUGGGUGGAUUUCUGAGGGCUUUGAGGUGGUGUAUUUUGUUUAUGAAGCACUUCAGCAACUGUUUAAAGAGUCAUAAAUGCCAUCAUCUGCACAAGGAGGAGAGGGAUUAAAGCACAAAGGUGUGACACGU
ensembl:lncRNA